rnacentral:lncRNA from 1 species
UGGCUAUCUACUGAUUGUGUAUGACUGCAUUCUUCGGAGCUGAGAUGUAACCGAUUAUGGAUCACUUUGCCACUUGUACAAAAUUUGGCCAGCACUGCACCAUCCAUAUGUAGAACCAUUUGUUGCAAAAUGGAGAAAUUCUGAAUAUUGGAGAUACAAGAAAUUGAAUCUCUAAUCUGGAUCAGAACUAGAAGUCACAGGAACCCGGGAGUCGGAUUUUAGGCCAAACAUUGUCAACAGCAAAGUCUUGAUAUUCCAAAGAAAGGAUCUUUGGAUGUGUCGGGGACAGCCAAGCCCAGCAGGACUUAUCCAACCCACAUUUGGACACAAACAUGAGAUUCAUCUUCAAAGUCCACUGGAUUCUAAAAAUCUCAAAGCAAAUGGGAAAGUGUCCCACUGGUUUAGAAAUGGAAUUGGAAGCCUGCAGGAGAAAGCAAGGAUUUUUAUUGGAUACCUGUCACAUGAAAAGCCCAUAUGGCCUGGAGUGUCACACUUCAUUUACCUCAACAAUGCAAACAAGAGCUUGAGAAGAAUCUCACCAUUUGACAGCCCAAAUGGCUCUUUAGCAACAACUUCUAGUUCUCUGGCCAGGCCACAUUAAAUGACAGUUUUAUUGAAAGAAAAAGAAACCAAAAAAUAACAUGGAGU